CUGCAGCAGCCCUUUCUGGGGGAGCCUCGGCGUUCCAGGCAGCUGUGGCCAGGCCUGAGUCAGUGGGAGCCCUGGGCCGCCCCGCCCUGGGGCGGAUUAGCUAAUUAUUAAAAAGUGCUCCGGCAGCACAAAGGGCAGGAGGACGCGCCGCCCUGCUCCGCCUGCUGGGAGCUGGCACUGACCGGAGGGAGCUCGGCAGGAGGGGACAGACCGAGCCGCCCCUUCCCGACACGCGGGCUGCCCCUGGGCGUGGACUUUUGCGCCCAGCCUCUCCGGGAGAAGCCAACUUUACUUUGUGGUUAGACUGUAAGGUCUUUAGAGUUCUGGAAGGCCUGAAGCUCACUAUGCAGCCCGGGAUGGCCUCAAAGUCCUGGCAGUCCUCCUGGCUCCGCCUCCACGGACAUGGGCCACUACAUUCAGCUGCAGUGAACAUUCUUACACACAAAUUUAUGUGCACAGGAUUUCCUUUCUCUGUGUCACACAUUAAAAGUGGAGAAUCAUAAUGAUAAUCCCAUUUGGAUUUAUGAACAGUUGAAUAGACUAUUGAAAAGAUGCCUUAAUCAAGAAAUAAAUUCACUACAGAAUUGCAUUCAGGGUGGGACAACUACCUUUACCCAUGGAUUUUCUAUCGCUUCAGGGAAAACUCUUCGAUGUUUGAAUUAAGCACCACAUCUGGAAACAAAAGAAAACGAUUACUUUCACUAAGUGCUAUCUAUGUCUCUAGGACUAUGGACAAAAUUUGCUUACAUUCUGUCAAAAUUCCAUCCACUUUUGAAGAAUUCUACAAUCUGAGCUGAGGGCAGCCAAAUGGCUCUGUUCAUACAGUAUCUGUUGGAGUUGAAGCUCCCAAGAACACUUUACUUUCAUAUUCGGUGCCUCCCACUGGGAUAACAGGAACAGCUGACUGCCUGGCACCUCUGUCUCCAGGCAGCCUCUCUGUGUGGACAGCUCAGGCUUCUUCAUAGCAGGGUGAUCUCAAGGUAGUUGAGUUUUAAAAUGGUGGAUGGCUUCCAGGUGAGAGAAAGAGGAUGUUGCCAGUGCAUUUAAGGUCUGGGCUGAGAAGUACCAAAAACAUCGAUUCCUCUGAGUUCCACUUCCAACCUGUACUCUGUUGGUCAAAGCAGGUUACAGGCCAGGCUGGAGUCAAGGGAGAAGAAAUAGCGUCUACUUCUUGGUGGGAAGACCAGUAUGCACAUAUAGGGAGAGAAGAAUCAGCACUGGCCUUCUUUGGAGUCUCUCUGAGAAGGGGGAAGAUGAAGGAUGACACGGUCUGCUUGUCAGGUAGGAUGGUAUGAAACCCUGCUGCAGAGGUUAGGAAGGAUCUAGAAGACAUGGUAUAGACUCCAGAGCCUUCUAACUCUCCCAUCCCUGAUCACAAGGUCACAAAAGACAACACCUUAACCAUCCAACAACUUCCCAUCCACCAUAUUGAAGAACAGGAAGAGGCCAGAGAGCUAACUGGAGAGCCUGGGAAUGGGUCUUCAUGGCAAUCCCUGGACAGCACUGCAAUUUACUCCACAAGAAAGGCUCCAGGAAGGGCUGGAAAGUUGUAACAAAAUAAAGAAGUUGUAUUAGGUAAAAUUAAAAGAAGUUAGAAUAAUGGCACAUUCAGGGAUGGUGGUUACCUCUCCAGGAGAGAAGGGGAUGUGGAGUCCACAGGGAGCCUCGCCAUUCAGCUAAGCUUUUAUUUCUAAAGUUAGGGGUUGGAUGCAUAGGUGUUGUUGUAUUCUUUGUGCCUUUUUGUGUGUUAAAAAUAGUUCCUAAUGUAACUGUUAAAAGUAGUCAUUUCUGAAUAGAUUUGUGGGUCCCCAAUGCCAAGUUUAGGUCAUGACAUAUUGUAUGGGAGUGGGGACAUAGAGCAAGGCUUGAAAGAGGACUUAGAUUUACUUGUUAGGAGAGUCACCUGGUUGGCUUUGGACAGGACAAGAGCAGAGACAGGGAAACCAGUAAGGGGGCUGCCACAUAUGUCCAGUG
ensembl:lncRNA